UGGGGAAUAUUGCACAAUGGGCGCAAGCCUGAUGCAGCCAUGCCGCGUGUAUGAAGAAGGCCUUCGGGUUGUAGAGUACUUUCAGCGGGGAGGAAGGGAGUAAAGUUAAUACCUUUGCUCAUUGACGUUACCCGCAGAAGAAGCACCGGCUAACUCCGUGCCAGCAGCCGCGGUAAUACGGAGGGUGCAAGCGUUAAUCGGAAUUACUGGGCGUAAAGCGCACGCAGGCGGUUUGUUAAGUCAGAUGUGAAAUCCUCGGGCUCAACCUGGGAACUGCAUCUGAUACUGGCAAGCUUGAGUCUCGUAGAGGGGGGUAGAAUUCCAGGUGUAGCGGUGAAAUGCGUAGAGAUCUGGAGGAAUACCGGUGGCGAAGGCGGCCCCCUGGACGAAGACUGACGCUCAGGUGCGAAAGCGUGGGGAGCAAACAGG
rnacentral:rRNA from 1 species